rnacentral:rRNA from 1 species
UACGUAGGAUGCAAGCGUUGUUCGGAAUUACUGGGCGUAAAGAGUACGUAGGCGGUUUGAAAAAGUCUGCUAUUAAAGACUGGGGCUUAACUUCAGGAGUGUAGUGGAAACUUUCAGACUAGAGGACAAUAGAGGAAGUCGGAAUUCUCAGUGUAGCGGGUGAAAUGCGUAGAGAUCCGGAGGAAGACCGGUGGCGAAGGCGGUCUGCUGGGCAGUUCUGACACUUGAGGCGCGACAGCGUGGGGAGCAAACAGGG